rnacentral:siRNA from 1 species
GAAUAGUUAGUAUCCUGUGAGAUA